rfam:Myotis davidii contig120799, whole genome shotgun sequence.
GCCAGUUUGGCUCAGUGGAUAGAGCAUCAGCCCGCAAACUGAAGGGUACCAGGUUUGAUUCCGGUCAAGGGCA